UUUGCGUUGGGAAGGAAGUCCCGCCCCCAUUCUAGACCCCGCCCUUAAUUCGCUGCGCGGGGCGGGCUUUCGCAGUCCGGGUACCGAGAGCGCGGACGGUGGGUGCAAUGGGUUGCGCGGGUAGGUCCUCCUCUCGGGCUUAGGGAGCGGGAGCAACAGGUGGAGCCCGCCGUACCUCCUCUGAAGGGGCUCUGUUCUACCUCAUGUAUGGGAACGUAAGUUCUUGUAUUCUUGCUUUGGUUUUAGCGUAGGGGCUGUUUACGUACUAGCUGUGUGCCUGAAGCCUCGCAAACGUUUUAGCAUUUAAUUUACAACUCAACCAGCCUGUAUUGGAGGUGUUGUUUUCCGCAGGUUUUCAUGCCUCGCCUGUUGCUCACUGAUGGUUGGGGAAGGUCUGGCUGCCUGCAAUAAUCAAGCUAAACUGGGUCCUUUGUUAUAUGCAGAGAAAUCAGCUUCACGGUAGUUAAUCUUUUUUUCGAUGUGGGGACCACCAGACCAUCUGGGAAACCUUUCCCACGCACUGUCUCUAUGUCCGGUGACUUUGGGAAGUCCUAAAGGACAACGGGGGAAUUCACCAAGCUUAGGUCGAGUGAGCCUCCCCACCACCCCGGAGCCAGCAUGGGACACAGCUGAACUCAUUUCUUGGAGGAACUUGCCAGUGUGUCCCCAAGAGCCUGGGUGGCAUAGUCUGUGCCCAACUGGUGCCUGAAGCCUACGGGGACUGCACUUCCUGUGCUCCGGACUUCCUCAUAGGUUGUCUUUCUAGCUGUCUUCUAGUGACAGGAAAUUCAGAGAAACCAAUAGGCCUGUUUCUCCAGGAGGGGGAUGUCCCUCAUGCCCUGAAUUCUGCCAGGAAAGUAGACUGGAUACCAAGUGACGUGGAGGAGGGGCUCCUGCAACCUUGCUGUGAAAACCUCUCCCCUCUGUGUCCCAUGGACGUGUCACCCAGUAUCCCAGGGGAAACUGGAGCAGUUUUUGCUGAGCUGUUUGGGGCUGUUGUCCUAAAGCUAAGCAGGGGUGGGGGUGGGGGACAGACAGGUCCUAGGUCUGGUCCCUCAUGUCCUUGUAUUGCACAAGGGACAAAGCCUCAUUUCCCAGGACAUUCAAGCAUAUUCCAAGCAGAGGCCUCUUCCACCCCUGAUUCUGCCCCUUCUUUCAUUUCCUGCCCCUCCUUUUCCCCCCAGCUUCACACUGAGAUUCUCACUUUCCCCUUUUUUCUCCUUAUUCAUUCUUUCAUUCAAAACACAUUUACUGGGACUUCCCUGGCGGUCCAGUGGAUAGGACUUCGCCUUCCAAUGCAGGGAGUGCAGGUUCGAUCCCUGGUCGGGGAGAUAAGAUCCCACAUGCCUCACGGUCAGAAAACCAAAACACAAAACAGAAGAAAUAGUGUAAUAAAUUCAUUAAAGACUUUAAAAAUGGUCCACAUCAAAAAAAAUCUUAAAAAAAAAUAUUUACUGAGCUCCUGACCCAGGGGAAGACGACAGACAAAUCUACACUUUUCAUGAGACUUAUUCCACUAGGGGUAAGGAACAGAAAGAAGUAAGUGUAAUAAUAGCACCUAUUUUGUGAGUGCCUAUGUGCGUCCAAACUAAGGCACAUCAAGGGUAAUUCACUUGCCAAAGGUCACAACUAAGGAUUCCAACCCAGGCACUGGUCAGAGAUCAUGCUGUUAACCAGCAACCCAUACUGCCUCCUUGGUUAUUACAGAUAUGAGAUUAGGGCUCUGUGCCAUUUGUCAGCCAAGGUAAAAUGUUUUGUGCUAUAAAUUUGUAAAUCAUGGCAGGCAGGGGAAGGACGAUCUCAUAUAAAAUAAAGUUCACAAGAAUUGCAGUCGAGUUUUAUGAAAAGGAGGACUAUGGAUUUCUCACAUAUCCAAGAAGGGAUUUUGAAAGGGAAAAUAAUGCUCCCGCGGAAGACUCACCCACGCAGGCCUCACCCUUGCAUUAGCGUGCAAAGGUGAGUUCUACCUGGCACCAAGCCUGGGAAGAGAUAGAUUCACUUCCUCCUUGGACUUUUGGGCUUAGACGUCAUCCAGCAUGGAGGGGAUGGAAAAAGAGAUGCCAUGCAAAUGGAAAUCAGAAGAAAGCUGGAGUAGCAAUUCUCAUAUCAGACAAAAUAGACUUUAAAAUAAAGACUCUUCCAAGAGACAAAGAAGAACACUGCAUAAUGACUGAGGGAUCAGUCCUAGAUGAAGAUAUAACAAUUGUAAAUAUUUAUGCCCCCAACAUAGGGGCAACUCAAUACAUAAGGCAAAUGCUAAGGGCCAUGAAAGGGGAAGCUGACAGUAACACAGUCACAGUAGGGGACGUUAACACCCAGCUGGCGUCCUCGGCAGCCUCACUACCUGCAGAACUUCUGACACUGCUCUUCUUUCCCAGAUAGUGACCUCGCAGGGUAGGCAGGGCCGUAGGAGGUGGGGGAGGGGAGAGAGCAACAGGACUCCACUCACUGUAUCCCUCUCUGCUUCCAUCCAGGGCUGCUGUCACUGUGACCAGAGAAAGAUAGUGGUGUCCUUGGCUCUGCACCUAGUGUUCCCACACUGCCUCCAAGAUGUCAGCUAAAGCCAUAGAGAGCGGGGGAGGAGAUGCCACUGACCCCUUCCGGCCGGAAUCCCCCUCUGAUGAGGAGGAUGAACCUUCCCAGUCAUCCAACCAGGCCUCUGAUGGUUCUCCUGGCAAGCCACCACAGGGGCCACCGCAGGGGCCAGAUGGAUCUGGCUCUGACCCCAGAGACCCACCCAAGGAUGGAGGCAGCAAUUUCUCCCGUAAAGCAGGAACUGCCGUACAUUUUCCAUAGAGGUGAUGGUGACUAGGGUGGCAGUGGUGGAGCCAGAGACAGAUUGGAGUCAUGCAGCCACAAGCCAAGGAUUGUUGGCAACCCCUAGACAAUGAUGCUAGAAAGAGGCAUGGAAGGAUCCUCCCCUAGAGCUUUCAGAGAGAGCCUGGCCCUGCCUACACCUUGAUUUUAGAUUUCUGACCUCCAGAACUGUGAGGGACCAUGAGAGAAUCAACACAGUUUGUGGUAGUUAAUUACAGCAGCCUCAGGAAACUAAUAUGGGCAGACCUCAUUUUAUCGUACUUUGCAGAUACUGCGUUUUUUACAAGUUGAAGGUUUGUAGCAACCUAGCCUUGGCAGAUAUUGGUUCACAUUUUUAGCAAUAAAGUAUUUUAAAAUUAAGGUAUACUCCUUGUCUUUUUAAACAAAAGGCUAUUGCACAUUUAGUAGACUAGAGUAUAGUAUAAACAUAACUUUUAUAUGCAGUGGAAACCAAAAACUUCACGUGAUAUUCGCUUUCUUGCGGUGGUCUGGAACCGACCCCUCAGUAUCUCUGAGGUGUCCCUGGACAGAGCUUGAAAAUCCCAUUGUGGUUGAAGGCUGCAUUAGAGUCAGAGUCUAUACAAGGAGGAGGUGGGAGUCUCUAGGGGGGUGCUGGACAUUGGUAAUAGAAAGGGGGCAGUUUCUGUUAGUGACAGGGUCUAGGGCAGCACCGUCCAAUACACCUUUCUGCAGUGGUAAGCAUGCUCUCUGCGUGAUCCAGUAUGGUAGCCACUAGCCACAUGUGACUAUCGAGUCCCUGAAAUGUGGGCCGUGGGACUGAGGAACUGAGUUUUAAAUUUUAUUUCAUUUUAAUUAACUAAGAUUUAAAUAGCACACAUGGCUAGUGGUUCCUAUAGUGGCCAGCAUGGGCCUAGUAUAUGACCUUGGGUGUGUGUGGCAGAGAGUUCAAGAUCUUUGGAAGUGAGGCAUGAGAACUUCAAGGCCAGUUUGUUGGAAAUAUCAUCUGUGCAGAAACGGAAACCCUCAAGACAGGUCAGGGGUACUGAUGGAGAGAGAGGUGAUGGUGAGCCAUGAGCUGCAAACUUCAAGAAAUGACUGCAGGUCUGAGCCUGAUUUCGUACCUUCUCUCCCUUGCCUGGGACCAAGGCUCCUCUUUGUGGGGAGCUGGCUGAGCUCACUCCUGCAACUCCUGAAAUCUCCGGAACUCCUGGUCCCAGCUGCCCCAGCACCCCAGUCCCUGCCCCUGUCAUAUGUCCCUGCCAGCCCCAAGAGCUCUCAGCAAUUCAACAUGGUCCAGGCAUGCUCUGCCCCGUGGUGCCAGGGGCUUCAGCCACAAGGCAGGAUACACACAAGGAGCAGGGUGACUUCUCUAUUUUUUUUUUUUAAUUUUUGUAUUUUAUUUUAUUUAUUUUUUUUAUACAGCAGGUUCUUCGUAGUUAUCCAUUUUAUACAUAUUAGUGUAUACAUGUCACUCCCAGUCUCCCAAUUCAUCCCACCAGAACACCCCCCCACCACUCUCCCCCCCUUGUUCUCUACACUUGUAUCUCUAUUUCUGCCCUGCAGACUGGUUUAUCGAGGUUCCACAUAUAUGCGUUAAUAUAUAUUUGUUUUUCUCUUUCUGACUUAAUGUCACUCUGUAUGACAGACUCUGUAUGACGUAGAUCCAUCCACGUCACUACAAAUGACCCAAUUUCGUUCCUGUUUAUGGUUGAGUAAUAUUCUAUUGUAUAUAUGUACCACAUCUUCUUUAUCCAUUUGUCUGCUGAUGGGUAUUUAGGUUGCUUCCAUAUCUUGCCUAUUGUAAAUAGUGCUGCAGUGAACAUUGGGGUGCAUGUGUCUUUUUGAAUUAUGGUUUUCUGUGGGUAUAUGCCCAGUAGUGGGACUGCUGGGUCAUGUGGUAAUUCUAUUUUUCGUUUUUUUAGGAACCUCCAUACUGUUCUCCAUAGCGGCUGUAUCAAUUUACAUUCCCACCAACAGUGCAAGAGAGUUCUCUCUCCUCCACACCCUCUCCAGCAUUUGUUGUUUGUAGAUUUUCUGAGGAUGCCCAUUCUGACCGGCGUAAGGUGAUACCUCAAUGUAGUUUUGAUUGCAUGUCUCUAAUAAUUAGUGAUGUUGAGCAGCUUUUCAUGUGCUUCUUGGCCAUCUGUAUGUCUUCUUUGGAGAAAUGUCUAUUUAGGUCUUCUGCCCAUUUUUUGAUUGGGUUGUUUGUUUUUUGUUAAUAUUGAGCUGCAUGAGCUGUUUAUAUAUUUUGGGGAUUAAUCAUUUGUCCGUUGAUUCAUUUGCAAAUAUUUUCUCCCAUUCUGAGGGUUGUCUUUUCAUCUUGUUUGUAGUUUCCUUUGCUGUGCAAAACUUUGAAGUUUCAUUAGGUCCUAUUUGUUUAUUUUUGUUUUUAUUUCCAUUACUCUAGGAGGUGGACCAAAAAAGAUCUUGCUGUGAUUUAUGUCAAAGAGUGUUCUUCCUAUGUCUCCUCGAAGAGUUUUAUAGUGUCCGGCGGUCUUACAUUUAGGUCUCUAAUCCAUUUUGAGUUUAUUUUUGUGUAUGGUGUUAGGGAGUGUUCUAAUUUCAUUCUUUUACAAGUAGCUGUCCAGUUUUCCCAGCACCACUUAUUGAAGAGACUGUCUUUUCUCCAUUUUAUAUCCUUGCCUCCUUUGUCAUAGAUUAGUUGACCAUAGGUGUGUGGGUUUAUCUCUGGGCUUUCUAUCCUGUUCCAUUGAUCUAUAUUUCUGGUUUUGUGCCAGUACCAUAUUGUCUUGAUUACUGUAGCUUUGUAGUAUAGUCUGAAGUAAGGGAGUCUGAUUCCUCCAGCUCUGUUUUUUUCCCUCAAGACUGCUUUGGCUAUUUGGGGUCUUUUGUGUCUCCUACAAGUUUUCAGGUUUUUUGUUCUAGUUCUGUAAAUAAUGCCACUGGUAUUUUGAUAGGGAUUGCAUUGAAUCUGUAGAUUGCUUUGGGUAGUAUAGUCAUUUUCACCAUAUUGAUUCUUCCAAUCCAAGAACAUGGUAUAUCUCUCCAUCUGUUUGUGUCAUCUUUGAUUUCUUUCAUCAGUGUCUUAUAGUUUUGUGAGUACAGGUCUUUUGUCUCCCUAGGUAGGUUUAUUCCUAGGUAUUUUACUCUUUUUGUUGCAAUGGUGAAUGGGAUUGUUUCCUUAAUUUCUCUUUCUGAUCUUUCAUUGUUAGUGUAUAGGAAUGCAAGAGAUUUCUGUGCAUUAAUUUUGUAUCCUGCAACUUUACCAAAUUCAUUGAUUAGCUCUAGUAGUUUUCUGGUGGCAUCAUUAGGAUUCUCUAUGUAUAGUGUCAUGUCAUCUAAAAACAAUAAGUUUUAUUUCUUCUUUUCCAAUUUGGAUUCCUUUUAUUUUUCUUCUCUGACUGCUGUGGCUAGGACUUCCAAAACUGUGUUGAAUAAUAGUGGUGAGAGUGGACAUCCUUUUCUUGUUCCUGGUCUUAGAGGAAAUGCUUUCAGUUUUUCACCAUUGAGAAUGAUGUUUUGCUUUGGGUUUGUCGUAUAUGGCCUUUAUUAUGUUGAGGUAGGUUCCCUCUAUGCCCACUUUCUGGAGAGUUUUUAUCAGAAAUGGGUGUUGAAUUUUGUCAAAAGCUUUUUCUGCAUCUAUUGAGAUGAUUAUAUGGUUUUUCUUCUUCAGUUUCUUAAUAUGGUGUAUCACAUUGAUUGAUUUGCGUAUAUUGAAGAAUCCUUGCAUCCCUGGGAUAGAUCCCACUUGAUCAUGGUGUAUGAUCGUUUUCAUGUGUUGUUGGAUUCUGUUUGCUAGUAUUUUGUUGAGGAUUUUUGCAUCUAUAUUCAUCAGUGAUAUUGGUCUGUAGUUUUCUUUUUUUGAGGUAUCUCUGUCUGGUUUUGGUAUCAGGGUGAUGGUGGCCUCAUAGAAUGAGUUUGGGAGUGUUCCUUCCUCUGCAGUUUUUUGGAAGAGUUUGAGAAGGAUGGGUAUUAGCUCUUCUCUAAAUGUUUGAUAGAAUUCACCUGUGAAGCCAUCUGGUCCUGGACUUUUGUUUGUUGGAAGAUUUUUAAUCACCAUUUCCAUUUCAUUACUUGUGAUUGGUCUGUUCAUAUUCUCUAUUUCUUCCUGGUUCACUCUUGGAAGGUUAUACCUAAGAAUUUGUCCAUUUCCUCCAGGUUGUCCGUUUUAUUGGCAUAGAGUUGCUUGUAGUAGUCUCUCAUGAUACUUUGUAAUUCUGCGGUGUCCGUUGUAACUUCUCCUUUACAUCUCUAAUUUCAUUGAUUUGAGUCCUCUCCCUCUUUUUCUUGAUGAGUCUGGCUAAAGGUUGAUCAAUUUUGUUUAUCUUCUCAAAGAACCAGCUUUUAGUUUUAUUGAUCUUUGCUAUUAUUUUCUUUGUGUCUAUUUCAUUUCUUUCUGCUCUGAUCUUUAUGAUUUCUUUCCUUCUACUAACUUUGGGUUUGUUUGUUCUUCUUUCUCUAGUUCCUUUAGGUGUAAGGUUAGCUUGGUUAUUUGAGAUUUUUCUUGUUUCUUGAGGUAGGCUUGUAUUGCUAUUAAUUUCCCCCUUAGAACUGCUUUUGCUGCAUCCCAUAGGUUUUGGAUCAUCGUGUUUUCAUUGUCAUUUGUCUCUAGGUAUUUUUUAAUUUCCUCUUUGAUUUCUUCACUGAUCUCUUGGUGAAGAGAUUUAGUAACGUAUUGUUUAGCCUCCAUGUGUUUGUGUUUUUUACGUUUUCUUUCCCUGUAAUUGAUUUCUAAUCUUACAGCGCUGUGGUUGGAAAAGAUGCUUGAUAUGAUUUCAGUUUUCUUAAAUUUACCAAGGCUUGAUUUGUGACCCAAGAUGGGAUCUAUCCUGGAGAAUGUUCCAUGUGCACUUGAGAAGAAAGUGGAAUCUGCUGUUUUUGGAUGGAAUGUCCUAUAGAUAUCAAUUAAAUCUCUCUGGUCUAUUUUGUCAUUUAAAGCUUGUAUUUCCUUAUUAAUUUUCUGUCUGGAUGAUCUGUCCAUGGGUGUAAGUGAGGUGUUAAAGUCUCCCACUAUUAUUGUGUCACUGUCGAUUUCCUCUUUUAUAGCUAUUAGCAGUUGCCUUAUGUAUUGAGGUGCUUGUAUGUUGGGUGCACGUAUAUUUAUAAUUGUUAGAUCUUUUUCUUGGAUUGAUCCCUUGAUCAUUAUGUAGUGUCCUUCCUUGUCUCUUGUAACAUUCUUUAUUUUAAAGUCUAUUUUAUCUGAUAUGAGUAUAGCUACUCCAGCUUUCUUUUGAUUUCCAUUUGCAUGGAAUAUCUUUUUCCAUCCCCUCACUUUCAGUCUGUAUGUGUCCCUAGGUCUAAAGUGGGUCUCUUGUAGACAGCAUAUAUAUGGGUCUUGUUUUUGUAUCCAUUCAGCCAGUCUAUGUCUUUUGGUUGGGGCAUUUAAUCCAUUCACGUUUAAGGUAAUUAUCGAUAUGUAUGUUCCUAUGACCAUUUUCUUAAUUGUUUUGGGUUUGUUUUUGUAGGUCCGUUUCUUCUCUUGUGUUUCCCACUUAGAGAAGUUCCUUUAGCAUUUGUUGUAGAGCUGGUUUGGUGGUGCUGAAUUCUCUUAGCUUUUGCUUGUCUCUAAAGCUUUUGAUUUCCCCAUCAAAUCUAAAUGAGAUCCUUGCCGGGUAGAGUAAUCUUGGUUGUAGGUUCUUCCCUUUCAUCACUUGAAGUAUAUCAUGCCACUCCCUUCUGGCUUGCAGAGUUUCUGCUGAGAAAUCAGCUGUUAACCUUAUGGGAGUUCCCUUGUAUGUUAUUUGUCGUUUUUCCCAUGCUGCUUUCAAUAAUUUUUCUUUGUCUUUAAUUUUUGCCACUUUGAUUACUAUGUGUCUCAGCGUGUUUCUCCUUGGGUUUAUCCUGUAUGGGACUCUCUGCGCUUCCUGGACUUGGGUGGCUAUUUCCUUUCCCAUGUUAGGGAAGUUUUCGACUAUAAUCUCUUCAAAUAUUUUCUCUGGUCCUUUCUCUCUCUCUCUUCUCCUUCUGGGACCCCUAUAAUGUGAAUGUUGUUGCGUUUAAUGUUGUCCCAGAGGUCUCUUAGGCUGUCUUCACUUCUUUUCAUUCUUUUUUCUUUAGUCUGUUCCACAGCAGUGAAUUCCACCAUUCUGUCUUCCAGGUCACUUAUCCGUUCUUCUGCCUCAGUUAUUUCUGCUAUUGAUUCCUUCUAGUGUAGUUUUCAUUUCAGUUAUUGUAUUGGUCAUCUCUGUUUGUUUGUUCUUUAAUUCUUCUAGGUCUUUGUUAAUCAUUUCUUGCAUCUUCUCAAUCUUUGCCUCCAUUCUUAUUCCGAGGUCCUGGAUCAUCUUCACUAUCAUUAUUCUGAAUUCUUUUUCUGGAAGGUUGCCUAUCUCCACUUCAUUUAGUUGUUUUUCUGGGGUUUUUUCUUGUUCCUUCAUCUGGUACAUAGCCCUCUGCCUUUUCAUCUUCUCUGUCUUUCUAAAAACUGAGGAAAGAGGAAGGAACUUGGCCCAGGGCUAGGAAGGCCAACAGAGAGGUAUGGAUUUAGGAAAGGAAGCAGGAGUGAGGAUGAAAUGGCAGAAGUAAAAAGCAGGGUCAGAGGUCUGGGUUGAAAGAACACAAUUUGAGUAGAGUUGAAGGUGACAGAAGAUGAGUCUAGGUUUACUAGGAGAAAUAGAAAAAGUCUCUUGGGGACGUUGGCCUUAAGUCUCACAACCACCAGAUAGGUAUUUCAGAAAACAAGAGGUUCAGGACACAUCUCUGAAAGGUUUGAGUUGCCUUAUUCAGGUAUGAUUAUAGUGGGGGAAUAAGGAAAUCUACCAGAGAAGUGGCUAGGGCUCACAGUUAUCCUAGGGGCAGCUGACGACAGGGGCAGAGCCAAGGGAACUGCUGGAUCAGGAGGCCCACGAACAAAUCAGGGGCAUAGCCGCCUGUCACUUCCCUACCAGGAAGGAAGCCAGGUAUAUUACUAUAACCAAGGCACACUGGGGUCUUUACUGUAUGGAGAACUUGGCUCCUGCCCGCAAUCCUAUGGCUCUGCGUCAUACACAGGAAGUAGGGCCUCUGUGCAACCAGAAAUGGGAAUGGGACUGAAGGAGAUUCAGCCCACAAAUAUCCGACCACCAGCUUCCACCUCUGCAAUCAGCCACCCUGUGUCUGCUCAACGCAUCACAGAAACAAGUUUUCAAGGUGAGUAUACAAACAGCAGAGAAAAUUGAAGAAUGAGGUCAGCGUUCAAAAAUGGGGUCAAAUCGACAGCUGGGAAGUGGUGUAGAGACAGGUAGAAUUUAGAUCCUGAGCCUUUAAUAACCACUACCUUCUCUCAGUGCUCUCUGUUUUUAGACUCUAUAUAAGAACACCUAGGGCUUCCCUGGUGGCGCCUGCCAAUGCAGGGGACACGGGUUCGAGCCCUGGUCUGGGAAGAUCCCACAUGCUGUGCAGCAACUAAGCGCAUGUGCCACAACGACUGAGCCUGCAUUCUAGAGCCCGUGAGCCUCAACUACCGAAGCCCACGUGCCUACAGCCCAUGCUCCGCUACAAGAGAAGCCACCGCGAUGAGAAGCCCGCACACCGCAACCAAGAGUAGCCCCCGCUAGCCGUAACUAGAGAAAGCCCGUGCACAGCAAUGAAGACCCAGUGCAGCCAAAAGAAUAAAUACGUAGAAUAAAUAAGUUCAAACAAUAAAUAAAUAAAUAAACCUAAAUUUAAAAAAAAAAGAACAUCUAAUGCAGGAGGGAAGGUGGGAGGGCCACUGUAAAGGUCAUCUAUGCUACAUGUACAAGAACCCCGAGAGCACACCAAUAGGUACCACAUUUUUCACUGCUGUAGCCGAUCAUUCCCCCUGUACUAUACCACACUGUAGCACUCCCUUCCCUCAUCUACUGCUAUAGUCUCUUUGGAAGGUGUUUCAGAACUCUUGUUAUGAGAGUGCCAGUUGAACUGUCCUCACUUCCUUAAUUUAUACCAGGAUUUAAGACCUUGUGGUCUGAGAUCCUGUCCAGAGAGCAAGCAGGCUAAGACUCUGUCUUUGUUGAUAUAUUUCAUCAGAAAGGGCUCUACCCCCUCUCCUAGUUCAUGGUGUGAAGUGUUCUUAGCCUCUCAGGAAAGUGGGGAGAAUUGAAAGGACUCUAUAUGAGAAUGCUAGGCUUUGUAAAACAUUUCAGUUUUUUAAAAAUAAGACUCAUUUUGUAUUGGACUUACAACAGUCCUAUGAAAUACAAAGAAAGCCAAGAAUCAGUGACAUGAAACGAUCACCAGUAAGAAUUACAACAGUCACCGCUUACCUCGUAGCAUAGGGCACUGUCCAUGAUCCUUAAGAAGAGUUAGCAGAAAUGCCUUGCCCAUCUUGCCCCUGAACCCCUUGAAAGGUACACGACUGCUGUGUUGGUGUUUAGGGGGAGCAUCUCACUUACCAGGGACUGACUUCUCCCUUGAUUCCUCUGUAGUGAUGGAGACUUCCCCGCUGAUGAAAAAUUCCCUGGGAUUGCAACCUCCAAGCCAGACAGCUUUCCUAUGGACUGACAGAGAACUUGUCAAGAUGAAACACCAGUCUGCGGGAGAAAGGGAAGAAGAGAAUGAUGGAAAUCGUUUCUGGGAAACUAUUUUUACAUUAUGUUUUGUUUGUUCCUGGUAAAUAAACUGUAAUCUUCUUAACAUUAAAACAAAAUCUAAACCACUAAA